rnacentral:rRNA from 1 species
UACGUAGGGGGCAAGCGUUGUCCGGAUUUAUUGGGCGUAAAGAGCGUGUAGGCGGCCAUGUAGGUCCGUUGUGAAAACUCGAGGCUCAACCUCGAGACGCCGAUGGAAACCAUGUGGCUAGAGUCCGGAAGAGGAGAGUGGAAUUCCUGGGUGUAGCGGUGAAAUGCGCAGAUAUCAGGAAGAACACCCGUGGCUAAGGCGGCUCUCUGGGACGGUACUGACGCUGAGACGCGAAAGCGUGGGGAGCGAACAGG